CUGAGUUCUCUCCGUCGUCUCUCUCCCCUUCGCUGCACGGGCGGCCGGCCGGCCGGCGAGCUGCCCCUCCGAGCUCUCCCCUGCGGCGGCGGCGGCCCAGGACGGGCUUCUCCUCCCGCCGCCUGCGCUGACCCCCCGCGAGCAGGGGCGCCGCCGUCGUCCUUCAUCGUGACCGCAACAUGACCAUCCUAGAAAACAUGUAUCAUUGAUGCCCUUAUACGCAUGUUGGUAUGAAUGAUCCUUGUUACGGCACGGAGGAAUCUGCAACACGGAUAUUGUGCUACGGCACUGAGGAAUCUGCAGCACAGAUAUUGUAUUAAGGUUACUGGCUGCUUCUUUGCUGAUCUGCUCUAAAAUAAAUGGGGGAAGGCUCGGAUCAAUUUUGCCAUUGCCAGGGCUGUCUUGGCAAGUAUACAUUGCUCAGAGAUGAAGAAAAUCCACGGUUGGCAAUGUUUGAGAGACGCCUUCCUUGCUUCGGUUGUGGUAUAGGAUGGUCCUCGUUUCUUUUAGGUUUCUUGUGUCCAUUGAUCUGGUACUAUGCAGCGGCACUUUACUGCUUCAAGUACUACAAUAAGGAUCCCCGAGAGCGCCCAGGUCUUGCUGCAUCAGCGGUUGCGGCGGCUAUCUUCACAACCGCAACAAUCAUCACCCUUACCACGAUGCUGAUAAUCUGUCUAUACAAAUAAUAUCUGAAACUGGGAAAACAUGGCUGGAGGAUCCUCGAUUGAGAGACUUGAGACAUUCAGGAUGAGCUUGUGAUGUUAGUGGUUGCAAACAUAUUUAACCCAUCAUUUGCCACAUCGUUGUACUCACUUGUAUGGGUUCCUGAUCGAAACACGUUACUAGCUUCAUCUGCUACUCUCCUUUGGGUUAUACUCUAUUAUGUUCAUUUGUUAUUAUUAUUAAAUAUUAAUAUUACUGACUGACUGCUAUCACUAACUCUGAGCUCACCGGGUUUCUUUUUUGAUACGAGCUGUCAAAAUUCUAUUGAACAAUU